rnacentral:rRNA from 1 species
GAAUUUAUCUAAUAGUUAAAUGGCCGCAGUACUUUGACUGUGCUAAGGUAGCAUAAUAAAUUGGCUUUUAAUUGAAGUCGAGAAUGAACGGGAUUUUAAUCAGAAUCUGUCUCAAAUAUAGAUUUAUAGAAAUUACUUAUUAGGUGAAAAUUCCUAUAGUUAUAUAUAAUAGACGAGAAGACCCUUAGAGUUUUUAUUAAUAAGGUAAUUAAUUUAAAUUAUUUUGGGGGGGG